rnacentral:rRNA from 1 species
UACAGAGGUCUCAAGCGUUGUUCGGAUUCAUUGGGCGUAAAGGGUGCGUAGGCGGCGCGGUAAGUCGGGUGUGAAAUCUUGGAGCUUAACUCCGAAACUGCAUUCGAUACUGCCGUGCUUGAGGACUGGAGAGGAGACUGGAAUUUACGGUGUAGCGGUGAAAUGCGUAGAUAUCGUAAGGAAGACCAGUGGCGAAGGCGGGUCUCUGGACAAGUUCCUGGACGCUGAGGCACGAAGGCCAGGGGAGCAAACGGG